GCUGGGCAUGGUGGCGCAUGCCUGUAAUUCCAGCUACUUGGGAGGCUGAGGCAGGAGAAUUGCUUGAACCUGGGAGGCGGAGGUUGCAGUGAGCCGAGAUUGCACCACUGCACUCCAGCCUGGGCGACAGAGCGAGACCCUGUCUCCA
rnacentral:SRP_RNA from 1 species